rnacentral:lncRNA from 1 species
GGCAACCUGGUCUGAUCCUCUUCUACACUGUGGAAGCUUUGUUCUUUGCAAUAAAUCUUGCUAGUGCUAUGCACCACCUUAAGGGCUGUAACACUCACAGCAAAGUUCUGCAGUUUCACUCCUGAGCCAGCGAGACCACGAACCCACCAGAAGGGAGAAACUCUGAACACAUCUGAACGUCAGAAGGAACAAACUCCAGACGCGCCACGUUAAGAGCUGUAACGUUGGCGGCUUCAUUCUUUUAAGUCAGUGAGACCAAGAACCCACCAAUUCCGGACACACUAUGGUUAGGAGUUUGAGACCAGCGUGGCUAACAUGGUGAAACCCUGUAUCUACUUAAAAUUAGCCAGGCGUGGGGGCGGGCACCUGUAAUCUCAGAUACUUGGGAGGCUGAGGCACGAGAAUUGCUUGAGCCUGCGAGACGGAGAUUGCAGUGAGCCGAGAUAGCGCCAUUGCACUCUAGCCUGGACUACAGAGCAUGACUCAGUC